AGUGAACGCUGGCGGUAGGCCUAACACAUGCAAGUCGAACGGCAGCACAGUAAGAGCUUGCUCUUACGUUUGGCGAGUGGCGGACGUGUGAUGAAUACAUCGGAAUCUACUUUUUCGUGUGUUAUUACGUAGGGAAACUUACGCUAAUACCGCAUACGACCUACUGGUGAAAGCAGGGGAUCUUCGGACCUUGUGCGAUUGAAUGAGCCGAUGUCGGAUUAGCUAGUUGGCGGGGUAAAGGCCCACCAAGGCGACGAUCCGUAGCUGGUCUGAGAGGAUGAUCAGCGACACUGGAAGUGAGACACGGUCAAGACGCCUACGGGAGGCAGCAGUGGGGAAUAUUGGACAAUGGGCGCAAGCAUGAUCCAGCAAUACCGCGUGGGUGAAGAAGGCCUUCGGGUUGUAAAGAAAUUUUGUUGGGAAAGAAAAGCAGCAGGUUAAUACCACGCUGUUCUGACGGUACCCAAAGAAUAAGCACCGGCUAACUUCGUG
rnacentral:rRNA from 1 species